rnacentral:lncRNA from 1 species
AAGUACCAUGUUAAAUGGAUCUUGGGGUAUCUUCCUUAGUUCUGACACUAUAAUAACCUUUAAUAAAAAUAAUAUUAAGAAUAUCAUUUUUGGUCUCUGGCCACCUGUUCUUCAUCUUAAAGUCUUAAAACACUAUGAGUUGAGGAGGGGACUCUUAUUGGGAAAACAUUUGUUCUUACAUAUUUUUCACUUCCUUCUGGAGAUUAUUCCAUCCUCCAAAUUGAAAGGAAACACUUGUAUAGCCUGAAGUGUCUUUUAAGGUGUAUACUGUGUUCAUUAAUGACUCGUUGGUAAUAAACUUUAUGUCAUACUAUAAGAGAGCUCAAUUCUAGUAUCUACUAGAUGUUAUAAUUAUUACUGCAUAUAGAUUAUUUUAAGAAGUAUAUGAAGUAUUUCAAGUGAAAAAAGCAAGUUGCAAAGGAGUCAUUAUUUUAUGCUAUCAUUUGUAUUUUAUAAAAUGCUAAGUAUGUACUUUUAUUUACAGAGUGUUUUUACAAAUGAAACUGGUAAUAGGGAGAGGAAAACUGGGGCACUGGAGAUUCUGUUUUGGAAGGAGACUUACCAUUUGCUGCAUACAUUUUUGUGCAAUUUUGGUGAAAAGUGGCAUAUCAAUUUUAAGAAAAUAUUAGUGCAUAUAGUUAAUACUCCUAUAAAAAGAUGGAUUGGAGUAGAAUAUUCUCCAAGAUUCCUUUCACUCUAAAAGUCUAGAAUUCUAAGCUUAUUUGUGUGCUCAGAUAGCCAGUCUAUAUCCAAGGAGAGCAAAACCAGUCCCUGCUAUUGAGGGAUUUAUAGUCUCAAAGGGUUGGGCACUGUNGGAGGAUACAUGCCAUGGAGGAUAUGAGAAAUAUGUUGCCAUUUAUAGAAAAGCCUGGCUCUCUUUUGCAGAUCAAGUUGUUCUAGACAGUCUUGUAAAAAUAACUUAGCUAUGUUAACCCACAAAAAUUGAAGAAUUAUUUGAGAUGGAAGUUCAUCUAAAAGUUACUAUAUUCUUCCCUACUUCACCAGGAUAUGAUAUGAAUGCAAUACAAUACUAUUGGUAUGAACUGUCCUUAUUUAUAAGAUUAGGAACUUGUUACAGUAGUAUCAUUAAAGUCUUUUGAGGGGCAUAGAUAGGGCUGUUGCUCUUAAGUUUAGUGACAUCACUCCUAAAUUUAGUGAUGUACUUUUUCAUAGUGGUGUUUUUCUGGAUUCCUCUGUAGAUCUCAUUAUUGACACCUCUCAAAACCCUGACCUGAGGAAGAAACACUUUGCUCCAUUUCAAAUUCACUAGCCUAAUAUAUUAGACUUAGAGAACAGCUAGUAGUAAUUUUUAGGACAUUAUGCAAAGUAUAAAUAGGACCCGAGUUUGCACCACACCUUUAAAUAGCACCCAUCUAUCUUACGGAUGGACUUCGUGAAAUCCACUUCCGUUGCUUAGAGUUCUUAUUUUUAUUAGUUCCUCAUUCUUAUCUGUGUUCCUUAUAGGCGUGAUUUUCUAGUAGCUUAGGACAUGGCAUAGAAAUAAAGGAUGUUCAAGAAUGGCAAGAAAUGAAGGAAAGAACUCCAUGGGAAAUGUUAAAACUGAAAAGGCCAAAUUUUACAAUAACAUGUAAAUAACUAGUCACAGUACAUUUAAAUAUUAGGGAUUCUGUCAAGAAAUUUCCAAAUGUGGAGUUCCUGUUGUGUGUGGCUCAGUGGGUUAAGAACCCGACGAGUAUCCAUGAUGACGCAGGUUCGAUUCUUGGCCUUGCUCAGUAGGUUAAGGAUCCAGUGUUGCUGCAGCUCAGAUCCAGCAUUGCUACGGCUGCACUGUAGGCUGGCAACUACAGCUCUGAUUCAACCCCUGGCCCAGGAACUUCUGUAUGCUGCAGGUGCAGCCCUAAAAGGAAAAAAAAUUCCAAAUCAAUUGUUAGAGUAUAUAUUGAACAUCAGUUAUUUCGUUCUUCUUGUUCAGGGAAAUAUAGAGACUGGAAAGAACACAAUUUUGUCCACAUACCAUAAACUGCUAAAAAGAAAAAAAA